AGCAGCAGCCACGGUAAUACGAAGGGGGCUAGCGUUGCUCGGAAUGACUGGGCGUAAAGGGCGCGUAGGCGGUUUAUACAGUCAGAUGUGAAAUUCCUGGGCUCAACCUGGGGACUGCAUUUGAUACGUAUGGACUUGAGUGGAGAAGAGGGUUGUGGAAUUUCCAGUGUAGAGGUGAAAUUCGUAGAUAUUGGAAAGAACACCGGUGGCGAAGGCGGCAACCUGGUCUUUAACUGACGCUGAGGCGCGAAAGCGUGGGGAGCAAACAGGAUUAGAUACCCGCGUAGUCCCUGUCUCUUAUAC
rnacentral:rRNA from 1 species